rnacentral:rRNA from 1 species
AUUGAACGCUGGCGGCAGGCCUAACACAUGCAAGUCGAGCGCGCGGCGGACGGGUGAGUAAUGUCUGUGAAACUGCCUGAUGGAGGGGGAUAACUCCUGGCAACGGUAGCUAAUACCGCAUACCCUCAGAUGUGCCCAGAUGGGAUUAGCUAGUAGGUGGGGUAAUGGCUCACCUAGGCGACGCUCCCUAGCUGGUCUGAGAGGAUGACCAGCCACACUGGAACUGAGACACGGCCCAGAGUACUACGGGAGGCAGCAGUGGGGAAUAUGGCACAAUGGGGGCAAGCCUGAUGCAGCCAUGCCGCGUGUGUGAAGAAGGCCUGCGGGUUGUAAAGCACUGUCAGCGGGGAUGCGGUACCCGCAGAAGAAGCACCGGCUAACUCCGUGCCAGCAGCCGCGGUAAUAC